AGGAGCCGGAUGAGGUGAAAGUCUCACGUCCGGUUUUGAAGACCAACGGGGUUGGUGAUAGCCUCGUUGAGUUUAAU
rfam:Chrysosporum ovalisporum strain TAM-MAO genome assembly, contig: 144